GCUGGGUCUAGUCAGGUUAUAGAUUGAGGUGUAGAUGAGGCUGGGUCUAGUCAGGUUAUAGAUGGUGGUGUAGAUGAGGCUGUGUCUAGUCAUACUAUAGAUGGUGGUGUAGAUGAGGCUGGGUCGAGUCAUGUUAUAGAUGGUGGUUUAGAUGAGGCUGGGUCUAGUCAGGCUAUAGAUGGUGGUGCAGAUGAGGCUAGGUCUAGUCAUGUUAUGGAUGGUGGUGUAGAUGAGGCUGGGUCUAGUCAUGUUAUAGAUGGUUGUGUAGAUGAGGCUGGGUCUAGUCAGGUUAUAGAUGGUGGUGUAGAUGAGGCUGGGUCGAGUCAUGUCAUGGAUGGUGGUGUAGAUGAGGCUGGGUCUAGUCAUGUAAUGGAUGGUGGUGUAGAUGAGGCUGGGUCUAGUCAUGUCAUGGAUGGUGGUGUAGAUGAGGCUGGGUUGAGUCAUGUUAUAGCUGAGGCUGGGUCUAGUCAUGCUAUAGAUGGUGGUGUAGAUGAGGCUGGUUCUAGUCAUGUUAUAGAUGGUGGUGUAGAUGAGGCUAGGUCUAGUCAUGUUAUGGUUGGUGGUGUAGAUGAGGCUGGGUCUCGUCAGGUUAUAGAUGGUGGUGUAGAUGAGUCUGGGUCUAGUCAGGUUAUAGAUGGAGGUGUAGAUGAGGCUGGGUCUAGUCAUGUCAUGGAUGGGGGUGUAGAUGAGGCUGGGUCUAGUCAGGUUAUAGAUGGUGGUGUAGACGAGGCUGUGUCUAGUCAUACUAUAGAUGGUGGUGUAGACGAGGCUGUGUCUAGUCAUACUAUAGAUGGUGGUGUAGAUGAGGCUGGGUCGAGUCAUGUUAUAGAUGGUGGUGUAGAUGAGGCUGGGUCGAGUCAUGUCAUGGAUGGUGGUGUAGAUGAGGCUGGGUCUAGUCAGGUUAUAGAUGGUGGUGUAGAUGAGGCUGGGUCGAGUCAUGUCAUGGAUGGUGGUGUAGAUGAGGCUGGGUCGAGUCAUGUCAUGGAUGGUGGUGUAGAUGAGGCUGGGUCUAGUCAUGUCAUGGAUGGUGGUGUAGAUGAGGCUGGGUCUAGUCAUGUAAUGGAUGGUGGUGUAGAUGAGGCUGGGUCUAGUCAUGUCAUGGAUGGUGGUGUAGAUGAGGCUGGGUCUAGUCAUGUUAUAGAUGGUGGUG
ensembl:lncRNA